UAGCGGCAGCGGCGGCAGCGGCUGAACCGGUAGAGGCGGGGGCCGUGGCGGUGGAGCCGUUAGAGGCGGCCACGGCGGCCGAGCCGGUAGAGCCGGCGGCGGCGGCGGCCGCAGCGGUGACCUUAGCGAGCACAGGAUCCGGAGCUGGAGCCCAGCAAGAACCAGCGGCAGGUCCUUGUUCCCCUAAGUCAGGCCCCGCCUCCCAGCCCUGCCCAGCCCACGCUGGCUGCCUGCUGAGUCUGGGAGCCUCACGCUGUGCCCUCCGCCAGCCGCGCCAGGCUUCCCUGCGGUGAUGAGGUGCUUUCUGCUGUUUUUUAAUUUAGGCCUUGGGAGGGGGAGGAGGGGCAGGUGCUGCAGGCCCGCACCCCUCCCCCCCCCCACCUCCGGCCGGCUUUGGCGGCAUAUAUCUGGCGCCGUCCAGGGGCACCGCGAGCGGUGCGGUUGGAGCAGAGCGCACAGCGGAGGCUGCGCCCAGAGAGGAGCUCACUUCUCCGCCCCACCGGGAGGCAGCGGCUAGGACGACUCUGAGAGCCGGUCCAGCCUCUUGGGGAUGAGGAUGUCCAGCAGCCUCUGGCUAGGCGGGCUGACAAGCGAGGGGCCGCUCGUCUCUGCCCAGCUGUCUGUGGGGCUUUCCCAGUUGGAGGCCUCCUCUGGUGAGGAGGGCUCUUGCUGGGCCUCCCACUUGGAUGAGGUGGGGAAGAACAAGGCCUUGGUGGUCUCCCACCAGCAGGAGAGGAAUGCCGUGGGAUGGCUGGCGAGGCCAAGACUCCAGAUGGCUGGGAUGGCAGAUGCCCAAAAGGAGUUACCUGGAGGUGGGAGUGAGGACGGAUCACUCGUGAGGUAGGGGCAUAGUAGGAAGAAGAGCCCCAGUCCACACACCAAGGCGAGGAUGGUUUCACCCACCCAGGAAGCGGGCCUGGGGCGCCACCAAGGAGCACCCAUAUGGUUCCCAGAAGAGUGGAGAUUCUUCAUCUCCUCGCAAGGCUGUCACAGGAAACAGCAGCCCUGUUACCCUCAGGAUGUCCUUCAGAGCCCUCCACAUGGUUGCAAAUCUUAAGUCUGUUUUUCCCAUGUGAUUCUACAUUGUCCCAAGGGCAAGAUUAAAGCAUCCAAUUCCUCUUCUUAAUAGGUACUCAUCAUGUUCUGAUUCACUAACAGCCAAAUAAGAGAAAAUCUGUUAAAAUGUUUAAAUGAACCACAUGAUUUGAAAGACUAUAAAUCUAAUGAGUAACAGA